UUGCUUAAAAUUGACUUGGCUAAGGAUUUUGAUCGUCUUGAAUGGAACUUCAUCAUUUCCGCUCUUUCACGCAAAGGGUUGCAUGCUCAUUUUAUAAAUUUGGUUUACGCUUGCAUCUCUUCUCCUAGAUUUUUGGUCAUUAUCAAUGGUCAACCUUUUGCCAAUUUUUGUAGUAACAGAGGUAUAAGGCAAGGAUGUCCUUUAUCGCCUUAUCUUUUUGUCCUUGCAAUUAAUGAACUCUCUUUAAGCCUCCAAGAUGCUAUGGUUGAUAAUUGCUUGUCUGGUAUCUCUCUUGGUCCAAAUUGUCCUGCGGUUCACUCCAUGCUUUUUGCCGAUGAUUUGUUGGUAUGUGGAAAUGCUACAAUGCGGGAAGCAAAUCAGAUGGCCAAUCUCCAACCAUUUCUGCUACCAAUCUGGUCAAAUUCCGAAUUGGGAUAA
rnacentral:rRNA from 1 species